rnacentral:rRNA from 1 species
GUGGGGAAUUUUGGACAAUGGGCGCAAGCCUGAUCCAGCAAUGCCGCGUGCAGGAAGAAGGCCUUCGGGUUGUAAACUGCUUUUGUACGGAACGAAACGGUCCUGGUUAAUACCUGGGGCUAAUGACGGUACCGUAAGAAUAAGCACCGGCUAACUACGUGCCAGCAGCCGCGGUAAUACGUAGGGUGCGAGCGUUAAUCGGAUUUACUGGGCGUACAGCGUGCGCAGGCGGUGCUGUAAGACAGGCGUGAAAUCCCCGGGCUCAACCUGGGAAGUGCGCUGGUGACUGCAGUGCUGGAGUACGGCAGAGGGGGAUAGAAUUCCGAGUGUAGCAGUGAAAUGCGUAGAUAUGCGGAGGAACACCGAUGGCGGAGGCAAUCCCCUGGGCCUGCACUGACGCUCAUGCACGAAAGCGUGGGGAGCAAACAGGAUUAGAAACCCGUGUAGUCC